rnacentral:rRNA from 1 species
AUUGAACGCUGGCGGCAUGCCUUACACAUGCAAGUCGAACGGCAGCACGGGUGCUUGCACCUGGUGGCGAGUGGCGAACGGGUGAGUAAUACAUCGGAACGUACCUUAUCGUGGGGGAUAACGCAGCGAAAGUUGCGCUAAUACCGCAUACGCCCUGAGGGGGAAAGCGGGGGACCGUAAGGCCUCGCGCGAUUAGAGCGGCCGAUGUCUGAUUAGCUUGUUGGUGAGGUAAAAGCUCACCAAGGCGAUGAUCAGUAGCUGGUCUGAGAGGACGAUCAGCCACACUGGGACUGAGACACGGCCCAGACGCCUACGGGAGGCAGCAGUGGGGAAUUUUGGACAAUGGGGGCAACCCUGAUCCAGCAAUGCCGCGUGAGUGAAGAAGGCCUUCGGGUUGUAAAGCUCUUUUGUCAGGGAAGAAACAGCAGCUCUAACACAGUCUGCGAAUGACGGUACCUGAAGAAUAAGCACCGGCUAACUACGUG